GGGGGUGACAGGCUUCGACUCCGGUCGUCGAGGUGGGAGAAGCGAGCCGUGGUCUCCGGAACCACGUUAAAGAGCCGGAAACCAACACAAACGCCGAGCACCAGCUCGCGAUUGCCGCCUAAAUAACGGCAACGUCUGUCCGGUCCUAGCCCCACGGACCGGUGGCAGGCGUCAUCAAGUGGGGCUUACUCGAGCGAGGCUGCUGGCACGUCGCCCGAGGAAACUUCUGUCAGCUGGAGACCCGUCCGGGUGCCGGUAGCCGGAUGAGACUUGAGACCCCACUGCCGGCUGCGCUCGGAGAAGUCCCAUCAAGAAGCCGGAGGACGCGGGUUCGAUUCCCGCCACCUCCACCG
rnacentral:tmRNA from 1 species